rnacentral:rRNA from 1 species
AAGUCGUAACAAGGUUUCCGUAGGUGAACCUGCGGAAGGAUCAUUAAUGAUUGGCCCUCGGUGGCCCUAUCACCCCCAUCCACACACCUCUGUGAACUGUCGGCCCUCGGGUCGUUUACAAAACAUCGUGUAACGAACGUAUCACAUAGAAACAUAAAACAACUUUCAACAACGGAUCUCUUGGCUCUCGCAUCGAUGAAGAACGCAGCGAAAUGCGAUAAGUAAUGUGAAUUGCAGAAUUCAGUGAAUCAUCGAAUCUUUGAACGCACCUUGCGCCUUUUGGUAUUCCGAAAGGCAUGCCUGUUUGAGUGUCAUGAAAACUCAAUCCCCUCGGGUUUUUGACCUGAUCGGACUUGGACUUGGGUGUUUGCCAGCUAAUGGCUCACCUGAAAAGACUUAGUGGGAAAAGCGCCAAUGGCUCAGACGUAAUAAGUUUCGUCUGGCUUGGUGCGAUCGCCUGCUCACAACAAACCACAUCUUUUGACUCUGACCUCAAAUCAGGUAGGGCUACCCGCUGAACUUAAGCAUAUCAAUAAGCGGAGGAAAAGAAACUAACAAGGAUUCCCUUAGUAACGGCGAGUGAACCGGGAAGAGCUCAAAUUUGUAAUCUGGCGUCCUCCGGGCGUCCGAGUUGUAAUCUAUAGAAGCGUUUUCCGUGCUGGACCGUGUCCAAGUCCCUUGGAACAGGGUAUCAAAGAGGGUGACAAUCCCGUACUUGACACGACGACCGGUGCCCUGUGAUACGCUUUCUACGAGUCGAGUUGUUUGGGAAUGCAGCUCAAAAUGGGUGGUGAGUUCCAUCUAAAGCUAAAUAUUGGCGAGAGACCGAUAGCGAACAAGUACCGUGAGGGAAAGAUGAAAAGCACUUUGGAAAGAGAGUUAAACAGUACGUGAAAUUGUUGAAAGGGAAACGAUUGAAGUCAGUCGUGUCUGGAAGGUUCAGCCGGCUCUGCCGGUGUACUCCCUCCAGACGGGUCAACAUCAGUUUGGAUCGGUGGAUAAGGAUGGCAGGAAUGUGCCACCUCCGGGUGCGUUAUAGCCUGUUGUCGGAUACACUGAUCCAGACUGAGGAAUGCAGCUCGCCUUCAUGGCCGGGGUUCGCCCACGUCCGAGCUUAGGAUGUUGACAUAAUGGCUUUAAACGACC